GAGAUCGGGAGAGGGAUGCGGAAUUCCAGGUGUAGCGGUGAAAUGCGUAGAUAUCUGGAGGAACACCGGUGGCGAAGGCGGCAUCCUGGACCGACACUGACACUGAGGAGCGAAAGCCAGGGGAGCAAACGGGAUUAGAUACCCCGGUAGUCCUGGCCCUAAACGAUGAAUGCUUGGUGUGGCGGGUAUCGAUCCCUGCCGUGCCGAAGCUAACGCAUUAAGCAUUCCGCCUGGGGAGUACGGUCGCAAGGCUGAAACUCAAAUGAAUUGACGG
rnacentral:rRNA from 1 species